rnacentral:rRNA from 1 species
UACGUAGGGUGCAAGCGUUGUCCGGAAUUAUUGGGCGUAAAGAGCUCGUAGGCGGUCUGUUGCGUCGGCUGUGAAAACCCGGGGCUCAACCCCGGGCCUGCAGCCGAUACUGCGUAGCUUGAGUCUCGGAGAGGUUGGUGGAAUUCUCGGUGUAGAGGUGAAAUUCGUAGAUAUCGAGAGGAACACCGGUGGCGAAGGCGGCCAACUGGACGAAGACUGACGCUGAGACACGAAAGCGUGGGGAGCAAACAGG